rnacentral:rRNA from 1 species
AUUGAACGCUGGCGGCAUGCCUUACACAUGCAAGUCGAACGGCAGCACGGGGCAACCUGGUGGCGAGUGGCGAACGGGUGAGUAAUGCAUCGGAACGUACCUUUCAGUGGGGGAUAACGUAGCGAAAGUUACGCUAAUACCGCAUAUUCUGUGAGCAGGAAAGCAGGGGAUCGCAAGACCUUGCGCUGAUUGAGCGGCCGAUGUCAGAUUAGCUAGUUGGUGAGGUAAAGGCUCACCAAGGCGACGAUCUGUAGCGGGUCUGAGAGGAUGAUCCGCCACACUGGAACGGAGACACGGUCCAGACUCCUACGGGAGGCAGCAGUGGGGAAUUUUGGAAAAUGGGGGCAACCCUGAUCCAGCCAUGCCGCGUGAGUGAAGAAGGCCUUCGGGUUGUAAAGCUCUUUCGGCCGGGGAGAAAUCGCACGGGCUAAUACCCUGUGUGGAUGACGGUACCGGAAUAAGAAGCACCGGCUAACUACGUGCCAGCAGCCGCCGUAA